rnacentral:lncRNA from 1 species
UGGAUAGAGAAAGUUGACUUCCAAAUCCGUUAGAAGUGAAGCUGCAACCUCCCAAGCCAAGGAAGUGUCUCAUCUGCAGAAAAAGCGUCGAAUUCCAUAUGUCAUGGUCAGACCUUCCUUGUAUUCGAUCUCGUCUGCUGAGAAGGUCAAGAGUGGAGCUGUUCCUUUAUCAUGUGCUAGGGUCAAGCAUGUCGUUGGUGCUGACAG